ensembl:snRNA U6 U6 spliceosomal RNA
CUUAUGGCCCAGUAGACAGAGUGUGAUGAUCAGGACAUAAGCACAACAAAAAUUAGAAUGACACAGAAAAGAUUAGCAUGGCCACUGUUUAAGGACAACAAGAAAAUUCAAAAAGCUUUCCAUAUUUUU